rnacentral:misc_RNA from 1 species
UGUACUGCUCCAUGGACGUCGGAGGAAUUUGCGAUAUGGCUACGUUUGUAGAAGGUUUAGUUUCCGUUGCGCUGCUCAGGAUGCUGAUAAGGAAAGCAAUGGAGAAGAACCUCCAGAAUCAUUAUUCAUGAAGGAACUGAAGAAGAGAGGUAUAACUCCCACUUCCUUGCUUGAGGAUACUAACAACGGUGACUUCAGACUCGGUGGCGAGAUGA